rnacentral:rRNA from 1 species
CAGUCGCCGCGGGAAUACGGAGGGGGCUAGCGUUGUUCGGAAUUACUGGGCGUAAAGCGCACGUAGGCGGCUUUGUAAGUUAGAGGUGAAAGCCUGGAGCUCAACUCCAGAAUUGCCUUUAAGACUGCAUCGCUUGAAUCGCGGAGAGGUGAGUGGAAUUCCGAGUGUAGAGGUGAAAUUCGUAGAUAUUCGGAAGAACACCAGUGGCGAAGGCGGCUCACUGGACGCGUAUUGACGCUGAGGUGCGAAAGCGUGGGGAGCAAACAGGAUUAGAUACCCGCGUAGUCCCUGUCUCUUAUAU